GAGGGCAUAGCUCAGUGGCAGAGCACAUGCUUAGCAUGCACGAGAUCCUGAGUUCAAUCCCCAGGACCCCCA
rnacentral:tRNA from 1 species